ensembl:lncRNA
ACCAAACAUCUCUUGGCGUAACAAACCUACUGUAUAUAUUAUCAUGGAUUUAGCUUUUUCUCUUUGACUCCUGCAUUAUGAUUUUUUUUUUUACUGUAAAUAUGAUCUAGCAAGCUAAAUACUAUGGUACGACGGCUGAGCACGCUCGUCCCUUUGAUUUGACUCAGUCAUUGUUCGUUUAAUUUCCAAAGAAAUAGAGGCCGAGGGAUUUGCACUACCAACCCAGGUAAUAUUGCUAGUAACGGCGACGUAACCUUACAUUCUAGACAGUCCGAGCUAGCAAAUGAACGUUCGCUCGAUAGCUAGCUAACGCAAACUACACAGAUACAAUACGGAAUUGCGUUUUGAAAUUAGUCUAAUGUUAGCGUGCAAUGUUCAUGAAAAAUACUCGGUUAACUUUUUUUGACUGUGUACAGUAGUUAAUCAUCUAACUAGAAGUAUAGAUAUAAACCAGACACAACAUAGUUAUUGUAAGCGUAUUUUGUAAAUAAAUAUAGCUAUAAGUGAUGAUAACGGAACGUCUUUGUCCCAUGCCUUUUGCCAUGGUCUGUAGAUUUACCUGGCUGUAGGCCCACAACAAAAUCGCUUCAGUAGCAUCACGUGAUACAAAAGCCCCAUCUAACACAAAGCGUUCUUUUGAGUAACGUUAGGUUGUUAUAGUAGCAUAUUACAAAUUGAAUACAAAUCAAAGCAAUACCAACGUCAUCGUUUGCUCAGAAAAUGGACACUAUAGAAAGUGUACGAUUUCAAACUAUCCAUUCUGAAACAGAGAAUAGAUAUCAAAACCCACGCACUCAACAUGACGAAAAUGAAGGUAUCUUUAGUACAAAUGUGGAUGAAGAAAUUAAAGAUUAUUCCUUCACCGAAAUACAAGCUCAUGACCUAGAGCAUUAUAGAAGAUGUCAAAUAGGUAUCUCAUGUUCCCAAGAGGACUACCAAGUAGAUGUUUGCAGGAAUGUUAUAAAUCAAAUUAUAGGAGAUGGGGUGCAGACACACUGGAGUUUUUCCAGAUUAGUCAAGUGUUUCAGUGAUCGGGACUGUUCUAAAGUGAAGUUCAGCCAAGUCCUUGCUGAAUACAAGUCUGACAUUCUACCUCUCAUAAUUGAGGAAUAUGGUAGUCUUAGCCAAACUGAGAAGAAAAUGAUGUCCCUUAUUAAUCAGCUUUUGUGUGGAUUACAUUUGAUUGUUGGCUUAGCUCAUCAGGCCAAAAUAACGCUUCUACUGUGGGACAACAUGAUUUUCGGUGAGCAGUUAGUAUGCGCAGGAGCCCAUAGUCUUCGUUACGUUGGGCCAACUGAAUUGGAGUCUGGAACAGUGCGUGCUGUGAGAACACUGAGCAAUGCUUUCCAGACGCUGGAGUUUGUGGAGUUCAAAACAUUUUUGACCAGCAAAGGAGAAUUUGACGAACAGCUCUUUUCUCCAUCCAGUGUAAACAGAAUUGACAGUCUGUUUCAUAACGCUGCUGGGUUAUAUAGCAUCUGUAAUGAUUUGCUUCAGUUUACCAGUGGCUGCACAGAAAACAUUAGUUUGCUUGAGGAUGUCGCAGCUGAUUUGAAGGUUCAACAGUUCAGAGCGGGAUGCAGAGCACUUGGCCUGUUUUUCAAAUUUGUUAUUCAGCCUUUCUGGAAAGCCCUGACUUUGAGUGGAGAUUUGUUAAAGAUGAACAUAAGAUACCAAAUCUUGAUUGGAAAGCUUAAGGAAUGGCACAUAGAUGGCAAAAGCCUUGUGGAUGGAAAUGUUUGCUUGUUUGAUGACAUUGAGGUAGAAGGGGAUCCUGUCUUAGACAAGCUUACUAUGUCUAUAGACGAAGGCUGUUUCGAAUUGACAGUUCAGAUUGUCGAAUUGCUAUCCUACAGUUUUCUAAAGGUGUGUCAUCAGAUCCUGCCAAUUGAUCUAGAGCCUUCAGAUGACAUUAGAGAGAGGAAUGAUUUGGUGUCAAAGAUGGAUGAUCACAGCGGGCAGAGUUUAAAUGUCCCAUUACAUUCACAAAAGGCUAAAUCAAAUGCUACCUGUUUCGCCCUUGAAGGUAUGUUUGUAUCUAAGAGGCAUCGUUCUUGGAAAUGGCUGUCCUUAUUGGACAAAGAAAAAACUGUUUCAGUUUUAAAAACCCUGAAGCAAACUUUGAAACUGAACAAAAUCUUGAACAAAAGAAGAAAAGUUUUUGUGCGAUCAAAAUUCCCAAAUACAAAAAAUAAAAACAUGGCAGUUGACAUGGUGACAUCAGUUCAGUUGAGGCCAGCCAAGGAGAUGUCUUGGAAAGUUGAAGCUAUGACUAAAAUAAAAUCCCAGCAAUAUCACAAAUCAGCAUCAUGCUCAGGUACACUCGCAAUCAAGAAUUUUGGAAAAAGAGUGGAAGGGAAGGAACUUAAAUACGUGUCUAAGCAAAUUGCCAAUACGAAAUCUGAAGCAUUUGCGCACCAGAGCAAUAUUAGAAAGCCGGUUCAAGUAAAGCCAAAGCCUGGGCUAGAAGUAUUAGAAACAGGACCUCUACAAUGGCCCAAACAGUGUACUAGACAGGGAACACUGGUGAGGGGACAUUUGGAUGCACUUUCUAGUGUUUCUUUGUCCCCUAUGAGGGCCCGGGAUAAUGUGACCAUGGAACACUAUUUAACCCAAAAGCUGACACAGUAUGGUGGGCAGUGGAAGCACGUGAAAGACAUUGAUAAAAAUGUGGCUAUGAUAGAUGCGAAGGAUAGAUAUGCAGCAUUAGUCAGCCAGCUGUUAUUUCACAGGUUUGUUCUAGGUUUCCGCAAUAAGCACGGUGUCUUCAAUACCUCAUGUGCCGGUAGGAGGUUGCAGUUGAGCGAACUAGUGGAUAAUUUGAAACGUUCCUUAUUGACUAAACGAUGAGGAGGAGGAGGAUGUUAAAAGUGGAUGAUCACAAUAGUUUACUAUACAUUUGAUUACUGUGCAGACAAACGUGUAUUCCGUUCACAGAAAAUGCUCAUUUAAACUUAAUACUGUUACCGCAUAAAUGGAAACAAAAGGAAGCAGAAAUAACUGACUGAUCUCAGAUUUGUUCGAUCAGUUUAAAAAACACAAAUCCUGUUUCAGUGCUGAGAUGGAGUAGUGUCAACUAUUCUGCCAAAUAGACAGAUCAUGUUUUGAAAGGUCAAUAAGCUUGUUUUUGGUAAUACAUUUGCAGUGAACCACUUGUGGUUACUGUGGUGAAAAUGUUUAUAAUAUAUGUGAUAUGCAACAUUUUAGACAGCUGUACAAUUGGUAGGCUGAAAUGUCAUUUACUGUUGUGUGCAGCAACAAAGUAGUGCAUCUCUGGUAUAAGUGUAGAAGGGACAGCAUCUUAGAGGACUGCAAGUGUAUGUAAGGGUGGAGCCUCAUUUCUUUACCCUUAAAAAGAAAGGGUUUGAGUUGGUUGAUUUAGCAAUUUCCCUUGGCCUCCUGUUCACGUAUAGCUGACAUCUUGUGUAAAAAGACCAAGGUCACAAGAAAUGCUUUUUUAUUUUGGAAUGAUUGCUAGAUGUGCAACCUUGCAAGUGACUAAAUAGCCCUUUGAAAAACGUUUUGAAGUGCCUCAUUUCUUUUUGGAAACGUUGAAUAGUCAGUGUUCUUUGGUUAAAGAAGGUAUACACAUUUUUGGAAAGGACUUCUUAAUUUUUCUUCUCCAUUUUUUUCUUACAAACCAUAUAUGUUUACACCAAGACACCACAAAUUCCCUUUUUGGACACAUGACUGCUGUUGACUAGGUGGCGGAAGUUUUUUUCAUUCUGAGUGAGACUUUUUGCUGACCUGCUUCUCUGAAACGUGAGUAGCGUGACCCCAAAGGAUCAUAAAACCAAGCAACUCCCACUGGACUCAGCGUCUGGUGAAGCACAUCCAAUUCCGUUGUGGUUCUUAUCAUGCUGCUCGCUCAACAAGGACGUCUACACUGGAAUCUCUGUGCUGGAAUGAACACACACUCCGGUCCUGUGGCUCACACACCCCAAGCUGCCACAUGGAGUCAAGGCAAGAAAUCCACAUUCAGUUACAAACCUUGUCUGACAAAACCUUAAGUCAGGUUCAAGAGAAUGUCUUUGGAACAGCAUCCUCAAGCAGUUGCAAAGAGUUCCUGCACACCACUAAAGGCAUUUUAUUUUUUUACAUUUGCCAAAGAGAAACUGUUUCAGGAACACCACUCUUUUCAAUUCUAAUUCCAGAUUGAAAACUAUGACUGUGUGCCUAGUGGGUUUAAUUUAGCUCUACUCAAAAUUCUAAAAGCUACUUUGGGAUAAAAGCCAUUUAUUGACAUUUUGAAGAUAUUUCACAGCGACUUAGAAGACACAUUACUAGAAUAUUUUUUUUUUUAACUCACAUUAAGUUGAGAAGUUGAGGGAACUGUGAAGAAUUUUAUCUACCGGUAUUUGAUAUGGGGCUUUUCAAUUUGAGCAAUAAAAUGUAUCUGAUAGAAAAUGUGUCCCAAUAUAACGUCUGCAUUUUAGAUUGCACGUUUGUAUGUAGACAAAAUCAUUUGUGGGUGAAAGGAUAUUGUGAAACAAUGUUAUUUAAAUAUUAAAGGGAUUGUUUGACCUGAAAAAUGACCCCAUGGGCCUUCAAGAAAAUCUCAGGGUAAUUGUAAUUUCAACCAAUUAUGAAUCUAGGUCAAUCUAUCCCUUUAAUAGUUAUAAUAUCCCUUUAAUAGUUAUAUUGCCUGCCUCAAGUGGAGGAGUUUAAGUAUCUAGGGGUCUUGUUCCCGAAGGAGGGAAGGAUGGAACGGGAGAUUGACAGACGGAUCGGUGCAGCUUCUGCAAUAAUGCGGUCGAUUUACCGGUCAAUCUACGUUCCUAUUCUCACCUAUGGUCAUAAGCUUUGGGUCAUGACCGAAAGGACAAGAUCCCGGAUACAGGCGGCCGAAAUGAGCUUUCUCCGCAGGGUGGCUGGGCGAACCCUUAGAGAUAGGAUGAGAAGCUCGGUCACCCGGGAGGAGCUCAGAGUAGAGCCAUCGAGAGUGGUCAGCUGAGGUGGCUUGGGCAUCUGUUUCGGAUGCCUCCGGAACGCCUUCCUGGGAAGGUGUUCCGGUCCCGUCCCAUCGGGAGGAGACCCCGGAGAAGACCUAGGACACGCUGGAGGGACUAUGUCUCCCGGCUGGCCUGGGAACGCCUCGGUGUCCCCCCGGAAGAGCUAGAGGAAGUGUCUGGGGAGAGGGAAGUCUGGGCAUCUCUGCUUAGACUGCUGCCCCCGCGACCCAGCCCCGGAUAAGCGGAAGAAAAUGAUGAUAUUGCAUAAAUUCAUGAAAUUGGUCCAUUAAAUAUUUUAUUGGAUAUACAACCGUGUAAUUGUUAUUGUGACAAUGGGCCUCAUUCAUGAAACAUGCAUACAAUCCAAUUUGAUUGUACGACCAUUUCACAGACAGAGCUGGUAUUCAUCAAUAUUAUCUUUGUUGUAUCCUUGCGAUCAAACUCAUGUCUGGUCGGAGGCCGCGUAAACCCCUGUCAAAAACAUAAGAUCAUGCUUGAUUCCCAAUAAGACCAUCAUUAUCAUGAAAAACAGCAAUCAUAACAGUCUCAGUAACAACAACCACAAUUACAAUUAUAGGUAAUAUAAAACAAGUUGAAGAGGAAUAUAACAUCUCCAAAUGUAACCACAAUAUCAAAUAUUGUGUCACUAUUGUUAUAUAUUUUAAUUUCAUUUUCUCUUAUUUCUGUUGUUCAUGCGAUUUUAAGGGUUGAAAUGCAUGUGUGUAAUGCGCUAGACAAAUUUGCUUUGUCUGGCUUUUCCUAAGUCACUGAAGCUGUAUCGACGUACUUGGAGGUCAUAAAUGGUCGUUCAUUUCGGUGGCCGGCAUCUUGAAUAGCUAGCAGGUCUUAAAUUGACUAGUGAGAGGAUAAAUUAACCAGUAGCUCUGGGUCGAGCAGUUACCCUAAUGAUGGCAGAGCUUGCUCUUUUAAAGGACUUCGGCUCUGGGCUGAGACGCGAAAGAGUUCCGUAACUGCGGCUGAUUUCGUCGUGGGGAAUGAUGAAUGGUUAAUUAUCCGUUUCAGGCUAUAAUUUAUGUUGAAGUCUGUCAAUUCAUAGGCUGCUGAUCGCCACCCCCGCAUUAAUCACAGGUGUGUCAUAUGUAAAUAGGGACAGCUGCAGUGCGUUCUUGCGUCCACGGCUUAAUCGGAUUUAUCAAUCUGCGAUCACAUCUACGCUAAUUUCGAUUUAUGAAUGAGGGACAAUAUUUAUAUUUCAGUGUUGUGUUGUCAGGAUCAUGUAAUGGUACCUGUGUGGACGUCUUGGUCUGACAACUUGUGUUUUUGCAGGUAAAUACACCUUUGUGUCUAACUGCUGAGUGUCUGUGAAGCAGAAUGGAUUCAUCAUCCCUUUUCCAUGGUAGACUGAACUGUUUGUCUUAUACAAGUGAACCUCAACCUCAGAAGGUGCGUUGUUUAUGAAACAUUUUAGAAAUACAAUGUAUUAAAUGUGAACAUCACUUUCCAAAUCUGGCAUUUUGAUAUACACUGGUAGUAGUUUUGAAAAGACUGUUAAAACUGAUUUACCCCCAAUAUUUACACCUUUCCCCCCACUACAUUGUCAAAAAUAAUGCUCUGAAAUGAUAGGGCAUUAGCAUACGCUCUUUCUUUGGAGAGCAAUUUAAAGAAAAUGCCUUGAAUUUCAUGCUAUUUGCCCAACUGCUAACAUGUGAGUUACUGACACUUUGGAUUGACUAUUUAGACUGUAUGUACACAGCUGUCAAAUGAGCUUGACCCUCGUUUUGCUGCCUCUUUUUAAAUUUCAUUCACAGAUCCUUGAUUUGCUGUACCAUAGGGACAUGAAGUUGAUUCUGUCGCCAACUUGUGGACCUGUCCUAAGGAUCUUCAAAAACACCACUGUUGUAUUUUUGAUCACAUAGGUUUUCCUGUCAGACCGGUUGUCUUUAAUUUCCAUGCCCUGGCCUGACUGACCGGAACAUUUAUCCGAACAGAAAUCUAAUGCUUCUCACAGUGGAGAAUUCUGGACUGGUUGUGAGGUCACAGGAAAUAGACUGCAUCUUCGACACAGCUCAAUAAAUGUUUUCACAAUUUAAAUCUGAGUUUACAGUAUGAACUGUGUCACAAAUUUAUUGGUGCCAUUGAUAUUUCCUGUAGGCUAAUUUUAGUAAUUACAACAUCAAGUUAAUAAAAGGAUCAAUAGUAUGUACCUACUAUGUUUUCAUUCUCCCAGCUCGAUGGAACUUGAUGUGCUGGAGUCCUUGCUUAAGAUGUAAAAUAUCAGGUUGUUCCUUACUUGCUGCAGCCUAAUGGUCAUCUUAUUGUGAAACCUGUAACACAUUUUUAAUCUCUCAAUUUUUUUAUGGUACCAACCAGUCUCUGGACAGUCAUAAGCUCCUAACAAACCUAACGACCCUGUUAACUAAAUAUGUAUAUCUAUUUAAAAACGGUGUUGUCUAUCUGGCCAAAACAAUUUGAUCUCUGAUACAUUCUGAAUAUGUAUCCGUAUUCAGUACAAUAUGUAUUGUGAAUGCACAUCAAUCAGAUUUUAGACCUCUGUUAGUCAUCGUUUUUUGGGGGGAAGCUAUAUCUGGGUUUGCUUUACCAGUUUUUCCUUGAACAAUGCCUUGAAAAAUAAAAAUGUUGAAAUGUUCCUUUUUGGUUUGGGCUUUACUUCGUUCCAAAACGAACUUGUUACUUGUGAUUAUCCCGUUUUAUGUUCACCACCCAUUUAAUGUAGUUGUAUGUCAACCUUUUGUGUAUUCUAUCCCUAUUCUAUCUAAAAUUACCAUUACACCAACUGCCAUUUUGGAUAUGUAAAUGUAUCUGGCGCGAAUAAAGCUGAUUCUGAAAC